GCUCUGGUGGCCUAAGUGGUUAUAGCAUCUGCCUUGGAUGCAGGAAGUUGCAGGUUUGAACCCAGACUGAUUCGUCCCAAAGACU